CGGCGUAAUGUGGGCCCUGCUCUCUGUGAAUCUGGGCCUAUGAUUUUAGUUUUAGUUUAAUACGGAUGUUCAACAUCGCGGAAAAAACACUACGAGGCCAAAAAUCUGUUACGGCAAAACAACGCAAGCUGCAAUGUUAUACAUUAUCCACAAGAUGGAGAACUAAGGUAUUUCGAGUGGAACGCACCAACAGCAAAUGUUAGACAGGAAGUGAUGUCAGGUAUAAAUAAGAAGUUCCGGGUGAAAGGUGAGUUGGGAGGAAGUAGAGAGAAGACAUUGCUGGAACUGGCAACAGAGAAGAGAAAAGCAUCCUUCACAUGACCACAUCAUGAAGAUGAAUGAGGAUGAAAGUCACACGAUAGAGAAGAUAAUAAACCUCAGCCUAGAGAUCAUCUACCUGCUGACCGGAGAGGUGAGGAGGAUUCUGGGAGGUCACAUGACAUCACUCUUAAUAAAACAUUGAUCCAACUGGAGAGGUGAGUAAUUCUGGGAACGUUCAUAGUAAUUAUUCUUACAAUCCCCUUUGAUAAAGGAAUUUGUAGUAGUAAAGAAGACAUCUGGUGAGGUAAUGACACCCAGCAGCCAUCCACAAUGUCCAAUCUCAACGGUGCCUCCAACACCAGACAGAAAAAACAACAAGAAGAUUCUAGAAGUCGCCAAGAAGAUGAUGGAGCUGCUGACAGGAGAGGUUCCUAUAAGGUGUCAGG